CCCCCCCCCCCCCCCCCCCCCCCCCCCCCCCCCCCCCCCCCCCCCCCCCCCCCCCCCCCCCCCCACGGAAGAGUCGCGCUGCCAUGGCAACGGGGGCGGGGCUUCACAGGAGCGUCACGGUGCCAUGGCAACGGGGGCGGGGCCUCAAGGAUGCUCCUAUUGCCAUGGAAAGGGGCGGGGCUUCAGGAAUGAGUCGCUGCUGCUGUGGCAACGGGGGCGGGGCUUCAGGGAGCGUCCGAUUGCCAUGGCAACAAUAGCGGGGCUUAAUGGGAGCAUCCCAUUGCCAUGGAAAUUGGGGGGGCUUAAUGGGAGCGUCGCUGCUGCCAUGGCAACGGGAUCCGGGCCUGCAUGUAGAUGGAAAUGGGGGUGGGAUAUGAAUGGAAUAUGGACAUUAGGGUGGGAUAUGAAUAUUGGGAUGGGAUAUAGACACUGGGAUGAGAUAUGGACACUGGGAUGGGAUAUGGACAUUGGAAUGGGAUAGGGACACCAUAGAUGGGAUAUGGACACUGGGAUGGGAUACGGACACUGGGAUGGGAUAUGGACACUGGGAUGGGAUAUGGACACUGGGAUGGGAUAGGGACAGAGCCACAAUCCCAGGAGGUGACAGCGACACCCCUGACCAGGGGCUGAUUCUUAUGGUGAUGACGUGGCUCCUCCUCAGCCGCCCCUCACCUGAACUUCUGGGUGGCUUCUCAACCGCCACCCCCUCCUUGUCCCUUCCCCCAGCCAUGUCCUGCCACUGGCCAGGCCGUGUCCCCAAAAUCCCCCUCAAAUGUCCCCCCCAUUUCACCCCUUUCUCAUUCGCGCCAUCCCGCACUUCAAGCCCCGCCCCUUUACUUAACCCCGCCUAUUUAGCUCAUUGUCUCUUUCAAUUGGCUGCAGGACCCGUCAAUCACUCCCUUUCGCGCCCGCGCAUAAAUUACUUCCGCAUUUUUCUGGCUCCUCCCUCCUCGCUCUUCUAUUGGUGAUUUAUCCCGUCAAUCAUUAGUUUGGACCAAUCAGCUCUCACAAUUUCCCGGUCCCUCCUAUCGCGCUCUCCCAUUGGCUGCCGCUGCCUUUCAUGUCCAAUAUAAACGGGGGUCCCGCAUCUGGCGACAGCGCGCGACACGUCGUGAUAUGUCGCGACAUAGCGGCCGCGCUGCGGCCUCUCAGCGCCUCCCCUGCGCGCGGCACGGCGGGGAAUUCCCUCUACUUUUCUCCGCCUUUUUAUUCCCUUUUCCCCUCCCUCUUUUCUUUUCUCCGCCUUUUUAUUCCCUUUUCCCCUCCAUCUUUUCUCUCUUAAUUCACUUUUCCUCCCAUUCUCCUCCCUUUUUCCCCUCCUUUUCCCACUUUUUAAAUUCCCUUUCUCCUCCCCCUUUUUGUUCCCUUUUUUCCACCCUCUUUUCCCACUUUUAAUUCCGUUUUCAUCCAUUUUCCACAAUCCCUUUUUUCCACCCUCUUUUCCCACUUUUACUUCCGUUUUCAUCCCUUUUCCACCCGUUUUUUGCCCUUCUUCCCCCCUUUUUAUUCCCUUUUUAUUCCCCCUUUUUUUGAGGGUGAUUUGGGUUUAUUUUGGCUUUUGGGUUUUUUUAUUUUUUUGGGAGGUUGAGUUUUUUCUUUAGCUGUUUUGGGGUUAUUUGGGUUUGUUUGGGUUUUUUGAGUUUGUUUUGGGGUUUUUUUGGGUUUUUUUUGGGUGUUUUGAGGGGUAUUGCGGGAUUUUUUGGGGUUUUUUUUGGGUACCCCCCCCCCCCCCCCCCCCCCCCCCCCCCCCCCCCCCCCC
rnacentral:lncRNA from 12 species